UAAUACGAAGGGACCUAGCGUAGUUNGAAAUUACUGGGCUAAAGAGUUCGUAGGUNNGAAAAAGUUGGUGGUGAAAUCCCAGAGCUUAACUCUGGAACUGCCAUCAAAACUUUUCAGCUAGAGUAUGAUAGAGGAAAGCAGAAUUUCUAGUGUAGAGGUGAAAUUCGUAGAUAUUAGAAAGAAUACCAAUUGCGAAGGCAGCUUUCUGGAUCAUUACUGACACUGAGGAACGAAAGCAUGGGUAGCGAAGAGGAUUAGAUACCCUCGUAGUCCAUGCCGUAAACGAUGUGUGUUAGACGUUGGAAAUUUAUUUUCAGUGUCGCAGCGAAAGCGAUAAACACACCGCCUGGGGAGUACGACCGCAAGGUUAAAACUCAAAUGAAUUGACGGGGACCCGCACAAGUAGUGGAGCAUGUGGUUUAAUUCGAAGAUACGCGCAGAACCUUACCAACACUUGACAUGUUCGUCGCGACUCUAAGAGAUUAGAGUUUUCGGUUCGGCCGGACGAAACACAGGUGCUGCAUGGCUGUCGUCAGCUCGUGUCGUGAGAUGUUGGGUUAAGUCCCGCAACGAGCGCAACCCUCACUUUUAGUUGCCAUCAUUAAGUUGGGCACUCUGAAAGAACUGCCAGUGAUAAGCUGGAGGAAGGUGGGGAUGACGUCAAGUCCUCAUGGCCCUUACGUGUUGGGCUACACACGUGCUACAAUGGUAUCUACAACAGGAAGCAAGACUGCGAGGUCAAGCAAAUCCUUAAAAGAUACCUCAGUUCGGAUUGCACUCUGCAACUCGAGUGCAUGAAGCUGGAAUUACUAGUAAUCGUGGAUCAGCGUGCCACGGUGAAUGCGUUCCCGGGUCUUGUACACACCGCCCGUCACACCAUGGGAGUUGGUUCUACCUUAAGGCAAGGUUUAAAACCCUUGACCACGGUAUAGUCAGCGACUGGGGUGAAGUCGUAACAAGGUAACCGUA
rnacentral:rRNA from 1 species